GGGGCGGUCCGCCCCAGGGCUGCUUUGCAGGCGCAAGCCCAAACCUGCAGACCCUGAAACUUAAAGAAAUUGAUGGAAGGGCCCCACCAGACGUGCAGCCUGCGGCUUAAUUUGACUCAACACGGGAAAACUCACCAGGUUGAGCUCUUUCUUGAUUAUGUGGGUGGUGGUGUAUGGCCGUUCUUAGUUGGUGGAGUGAUUUGUCUGCUUAAUUGCAAUAACAAACAAGACCUUAACCUGCUAAAUAGCCAGGCCUGCCCCAGCGGGUUGCCAGCUUCUUAGAGGGACUAUCAGCUUAAGCCAAUAGAAGUUUGAGGCAAUAACAGGUCUGUGAUGCCCUUAGAUGCUCUGGGCCGCAUGUGCGCUACACUGACAGAGCCAACGAGUCCACUCCCUUGGCCAGAAGGUCUGGAUAAUCUUGUUAAAUUCUGUCGUGCUGGGGAUAAAGCGUUACAAUUAUUGCUCUUCAACAAGGAAUAUCUAGUAAGCGUGAGUCAUCAGCUUGCAUUGAUUACGUCCCUGCCCUUUGUACACACUGCCCGUUGCUACUACCAUUUGAAUGGCUCAGUGAGGCCUCCGGACUGGCUUGGGGAGGUCAGCAACACCUACCCCGAGUUGGAAAGCCAGUCAAACUUGGUCAUUUAGAGGAAGUAAAAGUCAUAACAAGGUUCCGUAGGUGAACCUGCAGAAG
rnacentral:ncRNA from 1 species